UCGAGAAUUUUUCACAAUGGGGGAAACCCUGAUGGAGCGACGCCGCGUGGGGGAUGAAUGGCUUCGGCCCGUAAACCCCUGUCAUUUGUGAACAAUGCGUCCAUUAAAACAUAUAGGACGUUGAUAGUAGCAGAAGAGGAAGGGACGGCUAACUCUGUGCCAGCAGCCGCGGUAAUACAGAGGUCCCAAGCGUUGUUCGGAUUUACUGGGCGUAAAGGGUGCGUAGGCGGUUAAGUAAGUUUGAAGUGAAAGCUCCAAGCUUAACUUGGAAAUUGCUUCAUAUACUAUUUAGCUAGAGGGCCGGAGAGGAGACUGGAAUUCUCGGUGUAGCAGUGAAAUGCGUAGAUAUCGAGAGGAACAUCAGUGGCGAAAGCGGGUCUCUGGACGGCAUCUGACGCUGAGGCACGAAAGCUAGGGUAGCAAACGGG
rnacentral:rRNA from 1 species